GAAUGGCAUCUAUUUAUAAUUAACAUUUAUGGGUAAAAGAUGGCUAUGCGUUCUAUUAGCUAGUAGGUAAGGUAACGGCUUACCUAGGCGACGAUAGAUAGGGGUCCUGAGAGGGAGAUCCCCCACACUGGUACUGAGACACGGACCAGACUCCUACGGGAGGCAGCAGUGAGGAAUAUUGGACAAUGGGCGAGAGCCUGAUCCAGCCAUGCCGCGUGCAGGAAGACGGUCCUAUGGAUUGUAAACUGCUUUUAUACAGGAAGAAACACUCGGACGUGUCCGAGCUUGACGGUACUGUAUGAAUAAGCACCGGCUAACUCCGUG
rnacentral:rRNA from 1 species